GCCGCUUAAGCAGGUCGCUCGCCCGAUCCUCCGCCGCGCCGCUCCGGUCCUCGGCCGCUCCUGGCGAGCUUCAAUCGCGGCCGUCCCUUCUUCUCUCCCAGCUUCCGUCGUCCGCAAGUUUCAAGUCCUUCAUCCGCAAGCUUCACUCCUGUUCGACCGAGAUUAGCGUUGUUCAAGUCGGUGCAGUUCGCCCAAGAGACAGCGAUCGCAGCUUGUCGAAGCAACGCGGCGACAAGGCGCGGGCUCGUUGUGGAAUGUCCCACCGAUGGCAGCGAGGCGCUCUUCCCAAGCCCGAAUGGGCCGUUCCGAUUACGGUCAGGGAGCCUGCAAAUUCUUGGGAAAGACCCCGGCUUCCGCAUCCUCUCUUCUUCGAUGCUCCUCGGUCUAUUCGUGCCGCUGCAGUUCCCGAAAGAACGGAAUUUCCUUUCCCCCCCUAAUGCCCUGCGCCGUAAGAUGGACCCAAGCUGGCGAGGUGGGUUCUUCUCCCUCGGCGUAAAUUUGGGAUUUGUCUCGCACCGGCGUUGCUCCAGCAAAGGCUUUUUUGUUUUUGGCCUCCGACGGAGGCGGAUGAAUUCAUCAUCGGGCUAUCUAUGUCUUCUGAUUGAAACAGAAACUAUUCAGUCUAGUAAAGUUCACAGCGUUGCGGGGGAAAACUGGCGGUGGGGAGUUGAAAUGAUUGCAUAUGUUUUGUUGAUUGUCAUCUAUGUUUGUCUCUCUAGGUCUGAUGGUAAAUACUAAAUGAGUGGUGAUUUUGAUUUGGGAUCAUAUAUUGCUUCACUCCAUUUCAAAUGCAUUUAUAGACUGCAUGUCUACUGGUUUGGUGAUGCGUCCUGACUUGCUUUAUAAGUUGCUUCUGGUUUCUGCUUAACAUUUUCAUGAUAUGGUAAGAAUUUGCCUCUGCUGGUUUGGCUCUAACAGUAAACCCAACAAGGCUUUUCUUUUCUUCUUGUUUUUUUUUUUUGGGGUGGGGGGUUUAUAGGAGUAGAUUUGAAUUGUUGAAAUUGUGUGCUGACCAUUCAUGCGAAUUAAACAUGUUUAUCGCGCCUGCUUUCCAUAAAUAUUGAUGUUAAUGUUCUUCGAUAGUCCCCAACAUUUUACUACAAUAUUUUGGUUUUCACAUAGAUCAUGUUUAUGUGAGAACUGAAUGAUGGCAUGGGAUCUGCAUUGCUUGAAAACUGCAAUUGUUGCCCACGCUAUGUAUUUCUCUAAAAUUGUCUAGCUUUGGACAAAAACCCCUUCCUUGCCUUCUUCCAUUUAGAUAUGAAGAUGACUGAAGCUUUGGAUUUCAGGGGUUGGAGAGUAUGUCUGUAGGGUGAGCAUAGCACAUAAGCUGAAGCCGGUUGCCGUAUGAUCAAUAUGUAGCUUCUCUUUGACCACGUGAUUUGCUUGUUACUUGCUUUAAGAUCUUGUUUCUCGGAACGCCAAUGUACUUUUCUAAAGAUGGUCAUGAGGAGCCUUCAUCUAUGCCAUUAAAGGGCAAAGCUGGGAAGGCUUGAAACUAAUAGAGUUAUUGAACUGAGGAAUUAAUGCAGUGAGUGCAUGAAUUGCUUCAAUUCAAGCUUUAAUAAGUUACGAGGUUGUGAAAUAAUUUGUUGUUUUCAGGUAGAGAAGAGUCAUGUAGUGAGAAAAUCGAGUGAGAAAUUGAUUGCGUGUCUCUCUCUUCGAUUCUGCUAUUCUCUUAAUCCUUAUUUUCCCUUUCAUGUCCCUAACUGGGGACUUCACAUUGCUGUAAGCUUGUCUUUAUGCCUUUAUACAUUCGAUGGGAAUGAUGUCGCAUUUUAAGUACUAAGAGUUGGUUCACAAUAUGCUAUUCAUUUCUUGUACGAGAGAUGGAUUCUUCAAGGUGUCUUUCAUUGCAUUUGGAAAGCAAGAUGCUUCUUGAGGCCCAGCCCCAGACGAUGAUGGUCGUCUCAAAGGAACCGGGCAUGCAUACUUUACAUUCAAAGCUCGAUCUUCCAAAAUUUUCAUUCGAGCAGAACUCGUGCUUGUGUGCAAAUUUGAAGCUCCACUUCGAAUUAGUCAGGAUUUGAGGAAUGGUCUUUCAUCGCAAUCAUCAUCAAUUUCUAUUUCUGUGAAGUGGAUACUUAUACAUUGAUAUUCUUCUGAAUGAAUUGAAACUAUCCGGCUGAAAGUUUCAUCAAUUUGACGGGCAAUAAGUACGGAAACUCAAGAUGAAAGGGACUUCUCUCUCUAUGAUCGAUGAUAGAAGAUCUAACUAUCAGUGCAGAACAAGAAGGAAAUUGCAAGCAGGAAUAGGAAGUUAUGUGAAUUUAUUACUGGGCUAAGAACUUAGAUUAACUUGUCAAAACGAGAUUACAUGACCACAGAGAUACAUCUGCCUCUACUUCAAUGACCAUGGUUCAAGCUGCAACGAUGGUGGCAUGAAUCUAUUCGACAAAGGUCAACAUGAUCAGAGGCCAAAAAAGGCAGCUUUCAGAGCUAAUACGGUCUAAAACUGUACCAGAGCUAGUUUACAUAGACAAAAUCUGCUAGAAAGCUCAUAUGUGGAGACUUUGAGGCCUGUUUAAACGGGGACAGUCCUCGACUCAGCUGCAGUAUCUUCCUCAUGCUCUCCAGAGAUUUCCUCGAGCGAAUGGCCCCUUGGCUCUGGCACCAAGAAGAUGAAGACUAUCCCAAAGAAAUUGGUCACGCCGAGUGUGAUUAAGGUCUUCUUGACACUGAUCCUGUCCACUGCAUGCACAAAACGGAAUGCAUUCACCAAGGACCCAGCCUUGUCAGCUGCGGCAUAUAUGCCAAGACACGUCGACCUGAGCUGCAGUGGGAAGAUCUCAGCGGGGACCACAAAUGUGGUGGCAUUAGGGCUGAAGUUUGUGAAGAAGGUGGUGAAUGAGUACAUGAUUAUGAACCCGAUUCAAUUGUCUGGCAAGGUCCGUUGCCCAUCAUCAAUUGUACCGCGAACCCUCCGAUCUUGUCGUUGAAUGCCAGCGUGAACCAGUAACUUUACGCAGCUAUUAUUAUACAAAGCUAGAGCUCGAGCAGCUCAUUGCAUUCAACUAAGCCCCAACUAUCACAUCUCUAGUACGAGUUCUUCAGCGCCUAGCUGGUAAAGGCCGAGCUUGAGCUCCGGUCCACCCCUCCCGCCACUGAGAAAGUUAAGUGAAUAAGAAUUAAGAAAUAUACCUGCAAACAAGAAUUCAAAGGAAAGAAAAAACAGGCACUUGUAGAAGAGUUUUUUGAAAAUUUACCACCUCAACAACCUGCAUAGUUUUGAAUUGAUGUUGGUCAAUCUGCAUCGCAUUCACGAAUAAUUACAACAUAUGGCGGACAGAUUUUCUUGCUUGGUUUGAAUCGAUGUCGUGGAGGAGCUAUGCGGCAAAGUGCAAAGUGGAAAGGAGUCGCGCGUCGUGAAUGCCAGUGCUCUAUUUGGCUUGAAAUGCCAGUGCAAAGCAGGUUGGAGGCAAAUGCGCCUUGACAAUGAAGAUGACCUCAAGUUCUAUGUGGCUUCAAAUGCCAGUGCGAAGCGGGUUGGAAACAGAUGUGCCUCGACAAUAAAGACGACCUCAAGUUCCAUCUCAGUGUUUACAAGGUUGCAGGAAUUGUAACAGUAAAUAAAGCAAACACUUUGCCUUAAGUUCUGUUGAGCACUCCUGCAUGCCCGAGCCUCCCACAGUCCCAUCCGUUCCAUACAACACAUCUGUCUUCGAUCGUAAAUCAUCUUCACCUCCUUCAUCCUUUUGGUA